GACGAACGCUGGCGGCGUGCUUAACACAUGCAAGUCGAACGGAAAGGCCCUGCUUUUGUGGGGUGCUCGAGUUGCGAACGGGUGAGUAACACGUGAGUAACCUGCCCUUGACUUUGGGAUAACUUCAGGAAACUGGGGCUAAUACCGGAUAGGAGCUCCUGCUGCAUGGUGGGGGUUGGAAAGUUUCGGCGGUUGGGGAUGGACUCGCGGCUUAUCAGCUUGUUGGUGGGGUAGUGGCUUACCAAGGCUUUGACGGGUAGCCGGCCUGAGAGGGUGACCGGCCACAUUGGGACUGAGAUACGGCCCAGACUCAUACGGGAGGCAGCAGUGGGGAAUAUUGCAAGAUGGGCGGAAGCAUGAUGCAGCAACGCCGCGUGCGAGAUGACGGUCUUCGGGUUGUAAACCGCUUUCGCCUGUGACGAAGCGUGAGUGACGGUAAUGGGUAAAGAAGCACCGGCUAACUACGUG
rnacentral:rRNA from 1 species